rnacentral:misc_RNA from 1 species
AAAUGACAUCCAAAAUUUGGUUUGUGUUUGCUAGUCAGACAGUGCCGAAUUAUUGGGAUUUGGGCUUUGUCAAAUUUUUGUUUGGCUGACCUUAAAAUAAUUUAGCCACAUCAUGAAAAAGAUUUGGGUGAUAAGGCGUAAUAGUUGGUAUAUACUCUUUUGUGUCCAUCCCUUUCGCCGAAAGCCUGUCUAUUUUUGUAAAAAGUUGGCUCAAUAAUAUGGAAAAUUUGAAGAAAUAUAGUUUUUUCAACCAUUG